rnacentral:rRNA from 1 species
ACGAACGCUGGCGGCGUGCCUAAUACAUGCAAGUCGAGCGGACGAAUCGAAAGCUUGCUUUUGAUUCGUUAGCGGCGGACGGGUGAGUAACACGUGGGCAACCUGCCCUGUAGACGGGGAUAACACCGAGAAAUCGGUGCUAAUACCGGAUAACACGAUAUGUCGCCUGACGUUUCGUUGAAAGACGGCGCAAGCUGUCGCUACUGGAUGGGCCCGCGGCGCAUUAGCUAGUUGGUGAGGUAACGGCUCACCAAGGCGACGAUGCGUAGCCGACCUGAGAGGGUGGUCGGCCACACUGGGACUGAAACACGGCCCAAACUCCUACGGGAGGCAGCAGUAGGGAAUCUUCCGCAAUGGACGAAAGUCUGACGGAGCAACGCCGCGUGAGCGAAGAAGGCCUUCGGGUCGGAAAGCUCUGUUGUUAGGGAAGAACAAGUAACGCAGUAACUGGCGUUACCGUGACGGUACCUAACGAGAAAGCCACGGCUAACUACGUG